UACGGGGGGGGCAAGCGUUGUUCGGAAUUACUGGGCGUAAAGGGCGCGUAGGCGGGCAGGUAAGUCGGGCGUGAAAUCCCUCGGCUCAACCGAGGAACUGCGCCCGAGACUGCCUUGCUUGAGUCCCGGAGAGGAAGGUGGAAUUCCCGGUGUAGCGGUGAAAUGCGUAGAGAUCGGGAGGAACACCGGUGGCGAAGGCGGCCUUCUGGACGGUGACUGACGCUGAGGCGCGAAAGCGUGGGGAGCAAACGGG
rnacentral:rRNA from 1 species